UACGUAGGGUGCGAGCGUUUAAUCGGAAUUACUGGGCGUAAAGCGUGCGCAGGCGGUUCGUUGUGUCGGUGGUGAAAUCCCCGGGCUUAACCUGGGAAUGGCCAUGGAAACUGGCGAACUGGAGUGCGGCAGAGGGGGGUGGAAUUCCGCGUGUAGCAGUGAAAUGCGUAGAGAUGUGGAGGAACACCGAUGGCGAAGGCAGCCCCUUGGGCCAAUACUGACGCUGAGGCGCGAAAGCUAGGGGAGCGAACAGG
rnacentral:rRNA from 1 species